AUAGAACACGGAAGUAAGGAACCUUUCCUCUGCUCCACGUUAUCGUCCCUUGAUCCUCUUGUCGUGUGCUCACGUCGACGGCGAUCGCCGACGGCCAAGGGUCAUAACAAGCGGGCGUGAGAAUUCGGUGGUAGAGGAGGAGCGGGGGCACGCAUGUAGACGAGUUGCGGGAAUAAGGAACUGACUUCUGGAGCGGAAGAGAAGUAGGUGCAAGGAGAGGAACAUUGCACACGAAGGUCUGAUUCCGAUCACAGGUGCCCUGAGCUUUAGGCUUCCCACACUUUGUUUUUCGCUGGAUGCAUGAUGUACACUGGAAAUUCAGAGCAGUCCUAGCAGCAUUCUUAGGCAUUGGCUAGAGGACAAAGAUGUCAGCUUGGUGGUGUGUCCUCAUCCAAUGUGGUCUCGGCCCCGCGUCGAUCUCGCCGGAUCCGCAUUAGAACUCGCCGGAUCCGUAGUCGGUCUCGCUGGAUCUGUGCUUCGUCAACGUCGCCGGUGACUCCGGUGCUCCGGCUAUCAAGCCGUUGAGGAACCGGGGCGCGGGCGUGUGACGAUGGCCGGAUCCGACGACGACGAGACGGUUCAGGGUGGGUCAAACCAAGAGAGACGGCUUUGCGGGUUGGCCGGAGAUGAUGACGAGGAUGACAUGCGCGAGGAUGCCGCCGAGCUCUUCGGCCGUGUGGCUCAACCUCCCAUCAUCCUUGAGCCAUGCGAUGACCAAGCAGUGGACGGGGACGGGGAAGAGAACAACGGUAAGCGCUCACGCCCCUCUACCUCGGUUGUGUGGCUUGAUUUCAAGAAGAUAUUCAAAAUGGUGAACGGUAAGAAGGUAAGGUAUGGAGCUAAAUGCAUCCAUUGCUCUAAAGAGUACUCUGGGCGCUCUAGUGGUGGCACUGGUCACCUCACCCGCCAUAGGGAUAGAUGCCCUAGAAGGCGUGAGAAAACUCACAUGUCUCAGUCACAAAUCUCUUUUAAUCCUGAUGGUAGUAUUCGUAAUUGGGAGUACUGUCCUAUAGUUGCCCGUACUCAACUUGUUAGACUGCUUGCUAGGCUUGAUGUUCCUGUCUCUUUGGGUGAAUCUUAUGCAUUUGAAGAUUACAUUAGAACUGCUCAUAAUCCUAAAUUUGUUGCAGUAUCUAGGCAA